GCUCAUCCCUGUGACCAGGAAAGCAAAGGAUCUCAACUCUUUGCGCGGCUAGAAUUACAUGGAGUUGGAUGUGGCGUGUUUCCCAGUGCAGAGCUGUUGGCUCUGGCAGAUGCGAAGAUGCACUGCUCAGAUCUUCCUUCAAGCUUCAGGGAAAGGCUGGCAGAGUUCCUGUUGUAGCUCAGUGGGUUAAGGUCUUGAUAUUGUCUCUUUGAGGAUGCGGGUUCAAUUCCUGGCCUCACUCAGUGGGUUAAGGAUCUGGCAUUGCCGUGAGCUGUGGUGUAGGUUGCAUGGCUGUGGCUGUGGCUGUGGUAUAGGCCUCAGCUGCAGCUCUGAUUCGACCCCUAGCCCUGGAACUUCCAUAUACCGCAGGGGCAUCCAUAAAAAGAAAAGGAAAAGAAAAGACUGCUGAGCUGCGGGAAGUAUGCUUGGCCAACUGCCUCUGCUUCGGAGCCGGGGUCGUGGUCCUCUGUUCAGGGCCUGAAGAAAAAGGCAAUGCUACCAAGACCUUAGCCAUUUCUUCCCAAUGCUGGCUCCUUUAAGGGUGAUGCUGGCUCUGGAGUUCCCUUUUGGGUUGAUGGAGAAAUUGGCAGGUUAAUGUCAAAGUCUGGUGCCUUCUGCCCAUCUCUCCUUCUCCCCCCUUUCCCCUCAGGUGUUCCUCUCUGACGCAUCUUUUGCAUUCCCAAGUCCAUGUCCGUGCCUGCUUCCUGGAGAACUCAAGUAACACACGGGCAGCUGAAGAACUAACCCAUGUUCACCCAGGGAAGAAGGGGCCUCAAAGGAGGAAGAGGGAAGUGCGAGCAUGGCAACCUGGGAUAUCACAUAUUGUGAGGGCGGCAUUACCAGAUGGAAGAAGCUUGGAUCCCUGAGUCACCAGAUGGAGACGAGCUCUGGCCAACUUGCAUUGGACUUCACGAUUCUCCUUCAGGAAAAAAGAAACUGUCUCCUGAUGCAGCUGGAAGAAGCUACCCGCCUAAUGUCUUAUCUCCAGUCCCAGUUAAAGAGGUGGGUAACUGGAAGGGAGAAGACCAUGCUUGAUUGGCACCACAGAAGGACGUGUCCGUGAACUGCCCCCUUCCCUUUAGCUUGCUUUUCUCUCCCCGAACUUAGAACCCGCAGGGGUUGUGAACACAGGACAGAAAAGUGGAGACAUGAUAUCGUUACGAGUUGCUGCUGAUUCAUGAUCCAAGGAUGGUGGGGAGAGCCCAGUGUGACUUCAGAACAGCAAAUCCGAAGUCAGACUGAGCCAAGGACUUGGUUACAGCUUCAGAAGUCUAUCUGUCCAUGUAUGUGUAUGCAUAGUCCCAUUUUUAUUUUCCUUUUUAAAAGGAUAUGAAUAUUUUAGAAAUAACAUUUGGAUGCUCACCUUUCUGAAGCCCUCCAUGAACCCCCCCCCCAGGAUUUUUAGUGCUUAAUUAGAGAUCUGUUCACAUCUCAAGUGCGCGUCCAUUUCCGUUUGUGAAAUUGUUGAAAUGUGCGGCAUUUGCUGAAGCCCCAUCCUCUGGCACAGUCAGGAGAGGCAUAAUAAUCAUUUGUAAACAGAUGACUGAAUACUGCGCUUUGUGACUCUUCCUAUCUUCAAUGACUUCUUUUAUUUUAAUCACAAUUUUAUCUCCUUCUGAUCCUGACAUUUAAGCUCAGCUUUCUCUUGAUCGGAGGGGGCUUGGAGGUUCGUUUUAACCUGAUUUCUCCUGAGGAAAUAUAUUUCAGGACUAGAGGACUGGGUUAUCUCAUGUGACUUGCCCCAGGCCCCAGAGCCCUCUGGAGAGCCUAGUUCUUUGCAAACACACAGAGGGAAUUUUAAUGCACAGUUAAUUGGAAGGUUUUACUAACUUCUGCCCUUCUGCUUGCCCAGAUAGCACAGUGUUUACCUUAGAAAAGAAUUUUUUUUUUAAUUGCAAAACUAAAAAAAAAAAAAAUAGGUUGUGGCUUGUCAUAUGUUCUUGCAAUAGAGUCUUCAUGUUUAUACAAGAUUAAAAGUGAAUGAAUGGGAGUUCCCAUCAUGGUGCAGUGGAAUGAAUCUGACUACGAGCCAUGAGGUUGCAGGUUUGAUCCCUGGCCUCCCACAGUGGGUUAAAGAUCCGUGAGCUGUGGUGUAGGUCGCAGACGCAGCUUGGAUCUGGCAUUGCUGUGACUGUGGUGUAGGCUGGCAGCUGUAGCUCUGAUUAUACUCCUAGCCUGGGAACCUCCACAUGCCACGGGUGCGGCCCUAAAAAGACAAAAAGACAAAAAAAAAAUGAAUGAAUGGGAGUUCUCUUGUGACACAGCCGAUUAAGGCUCUGUAAGGAUCUGGCAUUGUCACUGCAGUGGCUUGGGUUCAUUCUGUGGCCUGGGAACUUCCACAGGCUGCAGGUGCGGCCAAAAAAAAAAAAAAAAAAAAAGGAAAAGGAAAUGAAUGAAUGAAAAUGAAUGCCUUUAUUUCGAUUUUCAUUUUUUCUGCCUUUCUAAAAAUGUGAGGCCACCUGCUAGAAAUGGGAGUUAUCUUUGAAACAUUACUCUGAGCCACGUGAAAGAAUUAGAACUUGGCAAUAAAGUGGACAGUCACUCAUCGCACUUUUCAUUCAAGUUGUUCACUCUCUUUGGGGGUUUAAAAGAGGCCUCCACAUUCAGAAAUGUAACACGCGCAUGAUUUUCCUGGACUCUACCUGCUGCGUAAAGUGAGACGCACCCACAGAUGAUAAAAAGGGAACCAGCCUCUUCACUGGACCUUGUAGUCAACGACCCGCUCAGUGGAAACCACGAGGAAGGCUGAGCUUGCUUUCUUUCGGAUAGUGAGUCAUGGUAUCCUUGCAAUAAACACAAUUACCCAAUUGUGAAUUCUGGUGAAUUCACUUGCCAGGGACUAAUGACCCAUUAUUUUACUUAUGGAAGAUGGUGCCUUCUAGUUCCUGGUGCGGAAGCUGCCAAAUGAUAGGUGCCAGCAUAUACUGGUCUCUGCCCAUGACUAAUGAGUGUGUUCUGCUCAUUUGGAUCCUGCAUUAAAAUGGGGGAAAUAGCAACACCUCCCUCCAGCAGCCGUGGAGGCUGAUGUCUGACCCACAGCAGCCACGGGCUUGGAGGACGUGAUCUGUCGGGCACAGCUUAUUCACAGUAAGCCGCAGGUAGUCUGAUCCAGUCUGCCUGACCUCAAAAUGGCAAAGGUCGUCCCAGCCUGGAUCUCCCAGAGCUGAGCUGGGCACAGUCGUUCCCCGCUGGCAAGGUCUUCCGCUGCAUUCUCUCUGUAUGGUGUGUCCGGGUCACCAUUUGUUUGUCCAUUUCAGAGACGGAAAUAUUUAAUGAUGUUGAGUUCACUGGUCUCACAUCUGUUUUGACUCUUAGAUUAGAGUACAUGAGAAUCUGUCCCAUCAACCAAUUUCCCCUCUUUCUUUUUUUUUUGGCCUUUAUUUGCCAUAAGAAGUGAAUCAUCAGAUAGACAAAUGUGACAUCAUAAAAAUCAUGCACCUUAAAAAAGGAAAGAAAUCUAUGUACACGGUUUUUAGCUAAUUCCUGUUAAAAGUACUCUUUGGAGCUUCCCAUUGUGGCUCAACGGGUUAAGAACCUGCCUAGUAUCCAUGAAGAUGUGGGUUUGAUCCCUGGCCUCGUUCGGCAGGUUAGGGAUACGGUGUUGCCUUGAGCUGCAUCGUAGGUUGCAAAUGUGGCUCGGAUCUGCCAUUGCUGUGGCUAUGGUGUAGGCCUGCAGCUGCAGCUCUGAUUCGAUCCUUAGCCCGGAAACUUCCACAUGCUGCAAGUGUGGCCCUAAAAGGAAAAAAAAAAGUAAUCUACUUUGGGCUAAUGGAACCUACAAGCUCAUUCUUUCAAAACAAGUCAUUGUCUCAGGGCUGAUGAAUGUUUUCAGCUCACAAACAACACACAUUUCUUUCCACUUUCUGCUUCCUCUAUGUUACAGCCCCAUACAGACACUGGACAUGCUGGCUCCUGGUCUUAUCUCCAGGCUGGAAAUUCCAUCACUCACCUGGUGCCGGGGUUGGUAUGCUAGCCGUGACACAUGCAGUCGUGACAAAUCUUUGUCUGGAAGGCUGGACAGGAGCUUAAGAGUUAGGCUCUAGAGAGGGGAUGGCCAGGGGCAAACUGGCAGGAGGCCCUGGUUCUAAUGGCAGUAAUUGUUAACUUUGUGACGUUGGGCAGAGUCACUUAAGAUACUUUUUCCUCCAUAAAGCGAAAGGAUUGGCCAUGUCUUCUAAGAGCCCAUCACUUCUACAAUUCUGGUUUCUAGACCUGCACCUCUGUGGGGUCACCCAGACCAGAGGGUCAACUUGCCUGGAACUCUGCAGCUGUCACUCAGGCUUCCUGUCCCUGGACAGCCCUGUUCCUCCAUUCGGAACACUUGACAGAUAAUAAUGUGUUUCCCAAAUAUCAGGCAUUCCAUACGACCUUGAGGUUUGUACCACGUCCCUGUCCUACCUAAAAUUUUCUUUGCUAAAUAUUUUUCUUUGAAGUGACUCGGUUUUUAAAACUUAAAUUUAUGUAAGGAAAGAUUGGCACUGAUUUUAGCAGAAAUAACUACAAUGACAAAAAAAAAAAAAAAAAAAAAAAAAGACCCGGGGUCAUGUUAACAAAUUAAGAAGAACAAGAAUUGUUGGCAGAAGAACUGAGUGAGGAGUCCCCAUUGUGUCUCUGUGGAAACGAGCCUGACUAGUAUCCAUGAGGAUGUGGGUUCGAUCCCUGGCCUUGUUCAGUGGGUUAAGGGUC
rnacentral:lncRNA from 9 species